CGCCUCUUGAUUAAACCAUAAGAGGUCCAGCCUGCCCAGUGACAUUGUUCAACGGCCGCGGUAUCCUAACCGUGCGAAGGUAGCGUAAUCACUUGUCCCUUAAAUGGGGACUAGUAUGAAUGGCCCCACGAAAGCUAUACUGUCUCCUUUUUUCAAUCAGUUAAACUAAUCUUCCCGUGAAGAAGCGGGAAUAAAUACACAAGACGAGAAGACCCUAUGGAGCUUUAAACAAUUGAAACACUUGCAUGUCUUACUUUAUUAAACCUACAUUAAACCUCACAUUUUGUUUCUAGUUUUAGGUUGGGGUGACCGCGGAGAAUAAACUAACCUCCACGCCGAAAGAGACAUCUCUAAACAAAAAGCCACAUCUUUAUGUAUUAAUAUAUUAACCUUUAUUGACCCAAUUUAUUGAUCAACGAACCAAGUUACCCUAGGGAUAACAGCGCAAUCCAUUUCAAGAGCUCUUAUCGACAAAUGGGUUUACGACCUCGAUGUUGGAUCAGGGUAUCCCAGUGGUGCAGCCGCUACUAAUGGUUCGUUUGUUCAACGAUUAAAACCCU
rnacentral:rRNA from 1 species